CUCUCCUGCUCUCCCCAUCUCUGUCGGAAGCUCUCCAAUGUGCAGACACACCCACACAAGCCCAUCAAUCCACUCUGUGUGCGACUUAACCCAGAGAUACAGAAACAGCAGCUUAAGGAGAGAAGACAAAAGGGAAAAAAAGAUGCGCACAGCCACCAACACACGCUCAACACGCUACUCCCCACAGGGCCCAGCAGGUAACAAGGCUGCGGCUCUGGUGAGUCAACGCCUGGCCGGCUGAUCGCCCAACAGAAGAGAAGAGGGCCAGAGAGCAGCAGUGUCUACCAUACUCCACUGGAGCCGGAGACGCAGAGACACAGCUGGCGGCCGAGCAGAAGCCCCGUCUGAAGCAAGGCCAGGCUCAGCUGCUACAGGAACAGGGAGCUCCGGAGACCCUGGCUGGAGAAACUUCACUCGGCACGACUCCCUGCUGGUGUCAGCACUGCUCCUUGGGGUGGAAUAAGAGCUGAGAAGAACCAGGAACUAGGCAUUGCCAACUUGCUCUCCAGAACAGCUGGGCCGAUUUACCUGCCGGUGGCAGGUGGGAGAGGCCAUCCCAUCCACCUUUGCAGCCCGGCGUCCUGGCAUCCUCCGCAUCUCUGACACUGCUCAACCCACACUCAAAGCAUAUUUCCUUGCCUGGGCCUUGGAGUCAGGCAAGUCUGGAACACACACCGGCUGACCUUCCCCUCAGUUUUCUUAUAUGGAAACAAGUGGAGGUUCGGAGUCCAACAGCACUGAACUAAUGUCAGCCAGAGCUGUUCUGCAGAUCCCCCUAUGUCUCAGCUGGGCUUGUUGCUGCUGAGGCCCACCAGGUGAGAGCCCUGGGAGGGCAGACAGCACCCAGACGCCUUGGUGCUCUCCAGAGUACCUCAUGGAGGAGGCUUGGUUAAAACAAAACCGGUAAAAAAAAAAAAAAAAAAAUCACCCUUCAACUCUCAGAUGACGGGUUGCUAUUGUCACGUGGGGGCUUGAGUGUCUCCACGUCACUGCUGGGUUGCUCCCUGCACCCUGGGGCAGGGGGCCCUAUGUGGGAAGCUGUUCC